UAUAUGAACUAAUGGCUGUUUAUCAUUUCAAUAGAUAUUCUACCCAAAUCCCUCAAAUUCAGACACUCAUAUUAUAAAUUGUUGCUGAUAAAUGUUUUAUAGAUGAUGUAAGAUAAAAUUAUACAUCAACAAUGCUGAGAUCAUUGAGUUAUUGAUUCAAUAUUCCUUACUAAAAUUAUCAAGCUAAAUAUGAUGUCAACAUAGAGAUCAAACAGAAGUGAAACCUCUUAGUCUUUGUCAUUAUGCUUUCAAUUUUCAGGGAUGCUUUAAAUUUACUGUGCAUUUUCUCUUGGCUACCAUCAAUACUUCACAAGUGUCAGUAAAUCAAAGUACAAGGCCUGAAAGGUUUCACUUAUCUUAUGUCUCUUUUCUUAAUCUCUACAUAUUUAUCACUUGCUUUCUUCAGUGUCCUAUAUUGAUAAGACUCUAGUAAUGGUGAAUAAUCCAUAUCAUACAUACAAUUCAUGUUUUACUUAAGAACAUUUGCAAGAUCUCUGAACAUACAAAGACAUAGAUUUUAAUGGCAAAUAAGUAAUUGAUGGAUAUUUGUAUUUAGCCCCUAGAGUAUUUUGGGGAGAAACAAACUUACAUUAUUCAAGGAUUCACUAGUUUGGUUAAUAUAAUUGCCUAUCUGAAUCCUUCAAAUAUCAUCUUUAAUGUAAGCUUGUGUUUUUGAUUAAAAUAGACAGUGCACUACAUAAAGGACUAAAGGGAUAUUUGGGGGUUUCAUAGUUUUUAUCCAUUUCCAUCUUCUUUAUUGCAAACUCUUCAUAAUAUCAAUUUAAAUACUGAAAUAGGAA
rnacentral:lncRNA from 1 species